AAAAGUUGUCUUUGAAAAGGUAUUUAUGUUCUUAAUGUAAAGAAGGCAGUUUACAUUACAUACAAAAAUACCCUUUGAAAUACAACUUUUUGCCCUACAAAAAGAAUGACAAGUAGAUUUUUUUUUUAAUUGUCCUAAAGGUAAGGUAAGGAAGAUUCAAACUGAGUGACGAAAUUAAUGUCUAGAUGAAUAAUUUGUUCAACUGCAAUACCUGUGAUAUAAAAAAUUAUAACGGUACAAAUAAAUAAAAUGUUAAGAAACCCCCAAAUGAAUAGUAAGUUUAUGUUCUCUUUACAUCCCAACAGGGUAGGACAGUAGCUUGUGGACAGAUGGAGAG